rnacentral:rRNA from 1 species
GAUGAACGCUAGCUACAGGCUUAACACAUGCAAGUCGAGGGGCAGCAGGGAUUUAGCUUGCUAAAUCCGCUGGCGACCGGCGCACGGGUGCGUAACGCGUAUCCAACUUUCCCGUUACUCAGGGAUAGCCUUCCGAAAGGGAGAUUAAUACCUGAUGGUGUUUGAAGUUCGCAUGUUCUUCAAACUAAAGAUUUAUCGGUAACGGAUAGGGAUGCGUGACAUUAGAUAGAUGGCGGGGUAACGGCCCACCAUGUCUACGAUGUCUGGGGUUCUGAGAGGAAGGUCCCCCACACUGGAACUGAGACACGGUCCAGACUCCUACGGGAGGCAGCAGUGAGGAAUAUUGGUCAAUGGGCGUAAGCCUGAACCAGCCAAGUAGCGUGAAGGAUGACUGCCCUAUGGGUUGUAAACUUCUUUUAUACGGGAAUAAAGUGCCUUACGUGUAGGGUUUUGUAUGUACCGUAUGAAUAAGCAUCGGCUAAUUCCGUGCCAGCAGCCGCGGU